AUCACAAGGACGUCAAUGUUAAGUCGUUGGGCUAUAUCUCUGGGAUGAGAAAUAUUUCCUUACAUGCGAUCAAAAUGUUUUAUACAACGAUGUAAAACGGUAAUCUUAUGGAAUGGGUCAGCAUCUCCAUUUCCAACACAGUUUCUGAGAUGUAAUUCAAGAGGUAACUUAUCAUUGCAUUUGAACUAUUAUAUCAGUUGGUGUUAUUCUGUGCGAUAAGCGAAUAUUAUUGGAAAGAGGGCUGCCAUAUACGUUGAAAUCACCAAAUAAACAGCUUAUGCACACAUUUCUCCACUUCGUCGUAAGUUUACAGAGCAGAUGUUAUACCUUGGUACUGGUCUUUGUCUUUGAUAUGAACAUUUAUCCCCCUAGUUUAAGGUUAUUUAAGAUUCAUCCUGUCGUAAGUCUUCUACUAGCAACCAAUCGACAAUAUUUCACUUUAGCGUUGUCUUUGCCGUUACGUUGGCUUCGCAUUACUUUUGUUUUAAAUACCUUGAUCGCGUUAAAUUAGUUAUUUUUCAGGCCAGUGAUAUAGCCAAAAGACUUAGCAUUAACGUCCUUGUGAUUUUGCAGAUAUAUCGCUAGAACUGAGGAUUUUAGAAGGCGUUA